UACAGAGGUCUCAAGCGUUGUUCGGAUUCAUUGGGCGUAAAGGGUGCGUAGGCGGCGCGGUAAGUCGGGUGUGAAAUCUCAGAGCUCAACUCUGAAACUGCACUCGAUACUGCUCUGCUUGAGGACUGGAGAGGAGACUGGAACUCACGGUGUAGCAGUGAAAUGCGUAGAUAUCGUGAGGAAGACCAGUGGCGAAGGCGGGUCUCUGGACAGUUCCUGACGCUGAGGCGCGAAGGCCAGGGGAGCAAACGGG
rnacentral:rRNA from 1 species